rnacentral:sRNA from 1 species
UUACUGAUAGAUACUGAGUUUAUUGUGC